UGCCAGCCGCCGCGGUAACACGAACCGGUCGAACGUUAUUCGGAAUCACUGGGCUUAAAGAGUGCGUAGGCGGCUUGGCAAGUUGGGUGUGAAAUCCCUCGGCUCAACCGAGGAAUUGCGCUCAAAACUGCUAGGCUUGAGGGAGACAGAGGUGAGCGGAACUGAUGGUGGAGCGGUGAAAUGCGUUGAUAUCAUCAGGAACACCGGUGGCGAAGGCGGCUCACUGGGUCUCUUCUGACGCUGAGGCACGAAAGCUAGGGGAGCGAACGGGAUUAGAUA
rnacentral:rRNA from 1 species